UCAGGGACCUCGCCCCCUCCCUUUCCCGCUGGAGAAAUUGCCGCUGAUGCAUUAUCCAAGUGGUGGUUGGGAGGAUUUGCAGCAACAUUUUUGGUUUUCCCUCCCCCUUCUAUGCAUUCUGUUUUUUUCCUCCCUUUUCUGUUUUUCUUCUUCCCGGGAAGUGAAUUGCUGAUGCAAAUCGGACUUUAUUCAUUAAUGAUGCAACCGGAUUCGUUUCAGGAUUACGUUGCACGAGUUGAAUUUUGAAUGAAGGAGAAGAGUUUUUUUUUUUUUUUUUAAAGAAGUGUUGACUCUCUAGUUCGUUGUACUUUUAAUUAUUAUUUUAUUUAAAUAUACGACUUAAUUGUAUUCUUUUAAAAAUGCAUUAAGUAUAUAUUUUAUGGUAAUUUACCCUCAAAAUAUAUGUAUAUGGGUGAAAUUGAAGACGCUUCAGUUAAGUGAGGUUACUGGUGUGUUGGAUGUUUAAUUCAGCACCAGCAUUGCAUGACAGUUGUUUGAAUAACAAGUGGUUUAUUUUUAAAACCAUACCUUUUAAAAUUUAGGUUCAGAUAAUAGUAAAAGUCAUCAUAAUAAUUUAAAGGAAAACCAGCAGAAAUCGAAGCAAACAUGUCUGGAGAAGUGCGUUUGAGGCAGUUGGAGCAGUUUAUUUUGGACGGGCCCGCUCAGACCAAUGGGCAGUGCUUCAGUGUGGAGACAUUACUGGAUAUACUCAUCUGCCUUUAUGAUGAAUGCAAUAAUUCUCCAUUGAGAAGAGAGAAGAACAUUCUCGAAUACCUAGAAUGGGCUAAACCAUUUACUUCUAAAGUGAAACAAAUGCGAUUACAUAGAGAAGACUUUGAAAUAUUAAAGGUGAUUGGUCGAGGAGCUUUUGGGGAGGUAAGAGAUUAAGAUUUGAUAGAAGGUCUGCUAAUUAUUUUGGAAGCUGUUGAACACAAUUGUGAGAGAAUUUAACAAGUAUUGUUACUUGUUACUUGUUAAACAAUAUUUGUUAAGUUGUGAUUGAUGUGAUUGAUUGUGCUGUUGUGAUUGAUAUAAUAGCUCAGAAAAUAAAGUGUUGAAUGAAAUAUUUCUACUGGGAAUUUUUUCUAAGAUCAUGUUUUCACAUGUACUUCAUAUGUCAAUGUAAAUAUGAGUGUGUUUCUAGACUCUUCUUUUGUUCUGUUGGUCUGUCUUAUUCUAGUUUAUAAGGAAUCUUGAUACCUGGUAGUGUAUAUACUCUGACUUCCUUUUUCUCCCCCUCUCCCAUCUCUCCUCCCCUGAUAUUUUCAUAGUAUUUUAUUUUAUGUAUGAAUGUAUGUAUGUAUGUAUGUAUGUAUGUAUGUAUGUAUGUAUUUAUUUAUUU
rnacentral:lncRNA from 1 species